rnacentral:tRNA from 1 species
AAAGAUUAGUUAAUCAUUAACAUUAGCAUGUCAAGCUAAAAUUACCAACAAAGGUAUCUUUUA